rnacentral:rRNA from 1 species
GGCAAAAUGAGAGUCCGACUGUCUCUUAUAACAAAUCAAUUAAACUGAUCUCCCCGUACAAAAGCUGGAAUAUCACCAUAAGACCAGAAGACCCUGUGAAGCUUUAACUAACCUAUUAAACCAAAUAAUAGCUAUUUUCGGUUGGGGCGACCUUGGAACAAAAAAGAACUUCCAAAUAUAUGACUCCCUCAUACUAAGGCAAACAAGCCACAUUAGACCCAGUAUAUCUGAUAAAUGAACCAAGUUACUCCAGGGAUAACAGCGCUAUCUUCUUCAAGAGCCCAUAUCAAAAAGAAGGUUUACGACCUCGAUGUUGGAUCAGGACAUCCUAGCAAUGCAACCGUUACUAAGGGUUCGUUUGUUCAACGAUUAACAGUCCUACGUGA